rnacentral:rRNA from 1 species
CGGUGAAUACGUUCCCGGACCUUGCACACACCGCCCGUCAAGCCAUGGUAGCUGGGUGUACCUAAAGUCGGUAACCGUAAGGAGCCGCCUAGGGUAAAACUAGUGACUGGGGCU